GUGACUGCGUACCUUUUGUAUAAUGGGUCAGCGACUUAUAUUCUGUAGCAAGGUUAACCGAAUAGGGGAGCCGGAGGGAAACCGAGUCUUAACCGGGCGUUAAGUUGCAGGGUAUAGACCCGAAACCCGGUGAUCUAGCCAUGGGCAGGUUGAAGGUUGGGUAACACUAACUGGAGGACCGAACCGACUAAUGUUGAAAAAUUAGCGGAUGACCUGUGGCUGGGGGUGAAAGGCCAAUCAAACCGGGAGAUAGCUGGUUCUCCCCGAAAGCUAUUUAGGUAGCGCCUCGUGAAUUCAUCUCCGGGGGUAGAGCACUGUUUCGGCUAGGGGGCCAUCCCGGCUUACCAACCCGAUGCAAACUGCGAAUACCGGAGAAUGUUAUCACGGGAGACACACGGCGGGUGCUAACGUCCGUCGUGAAGAGGGAAACAACCCAGACCGCCAGCUAAGGUCCCAAAGUCAUGGUUAAGUGGGAAACGAUGUGGGAAGGCCCAGACAGCCAGGAUGUUGGCUUAGAAGCAGCCAUCAUUUAAAGAAAGCGUAAUAGCUCACUGGUCGAGUCGGCCUGCGCGGAAGAUGUAACGGGGCUAAACCAUGCACCGAAGCUGCGGCAGCGACGCUGAUGCGUUGUUGGGUAGGGGAGCGUUCUGUAAGCCUGCGAAGGUGGCCUGUGAGGGUUGCUGGAGGUAUCAGAAGUGCGAAUGCUGACAUAAGUAACGAUAAAGCGGGUGAAAAGCCCGCUCGCCGGAAGACCAA
rnacentral:rRNA from 1 species